rnacentral:lncRNA from 1 species
CCAUAAUCCCAAUCUUUUUCAUCCCAAUCAGGACAGUAACUUCUUUUUGAGUGUCUCAUCUACAUAAAAAACAAGUUUUCCCGGUUAAGGUGUAUCCCACAUGUCAACAUUUUAAUAAAACUCGUCCUCUAAAAUUCAUCCGAGUUGUGACGUUUCAAUUGUUCUUUUAAAUCAAAGCUCAAAAGUCAUUAUUACUCAACUAUGAGGGAAAUCCUUUCCUGCCGAAACUACAAAUUCCUAACAACUUGAAAAAGACGUUAUACAAAACGACUUUUCAUCAACUACCGAUCAUACCCGUACUAACACCUGGGCUCGAUUCCAUACAAAAACAAGCGUCGAAAUCAAGACGCUCCAACUGUUCCGAGAAGGGGCGGCAGGAACACCACGCCUAAAAGGCCCGAUCACCCGACUUCUCACAGGCUCCUUCAACUACUCCAUAUUAUUCCUGUCUCCUUGAGUUCCUAAACCUAACUUUUGCUUUCACCACUGAGGGCAGACACUCGCCAUUUUCCCUCGAGUCGCCUUACAUCGGGUCAAUGUGUUCUUUUCUUUAAGAACACAGAUCCUCAGAAGAGCGUGACUGAGGCACAUUCCAGGACCCAAGUCAUUGCCAACUUCCCCCACCCCACCCCACCGCCAUCUUAGAGCCCGUCCGAGGCCAGCCG